UACGGAGGAUGCAAGCGUUAUCCGGAAUGAUUGGGCGUAAAGCGUCCGCAGGUGGCAGUUCAAGUCUGCUGUUAAAUACUAGGGCUCAACCCUGGAGCGGCAGUGGAAACUGAACAGCUAGAGUUCGGUAGGGGUAGAGGGAAUUCCUGGUGUAGCGGUGAAAUGCGUAGAGAUCAGGAAGAACACCGGUGGCGAAAGCGCUCUACUAGGUCGCGACUGACACUGAGGGACGAAAGCUAGGGGAGCGAAUGGG
rnacentral:rRNA from 1 species